rnacentral:rRNA from 1 species
UACGUAGGGUGCAAGCGUUGUCCGGAAUUAUUGGGCGUAAAGAGCGCGCAGGCGGUCUAUCAAGUCAGAUGUGAAAUAUCCCGGCUUAACCGGGAGGGGUCAUUUGAAACUGGUAGACUAGAGUACAGCAGAGGAUAGCGGAAUUCCCGGUGUAGUGGUGAAAUGCGUAGAUAUCGGGAGGAACACCAGUGGCGAAGGCGGCUAUCUGGGCUGAAACUGACGCUGAGGCGCGAAGGCUAGGGGAGCAAACAGG